rnacentral:rRNA from 1 species
AAAAUACUCGAUUUUUUAGUUAAGAUUGAUUCUGUCUUUUUAAAUUGGCUAAAAUUUGAUAAUUUUAUAUACAAGUUUUUGCGUGAUGUAUUGUGUCUUAAGGGCAAAAUUUAUGUUUUUAGUUGUAGUUUUUUAUUUUGAGUAUUUUGGUAACAUAGACUCAGUUAAUUAAUUUUAGAAUUGUUUAAAAUUGUGCCAGCAUACGCGGUUACACAAUUAAUUCAAGUUAAUUUUUUUGGUUAAUAUUUAUUUUUUUUGUUGGAGAUUUAAUUAAUUAUUUAUUGGGUGAAAUUUUAAUUUUAAUUAUAUUCUCUUGGUUUAAGAUU